GAUGAAGAACGCAGCGAAAUGCGAUAAGUAAUGUGAAUUGCAGAAUUCAGUGAAUCAUCGAAUCUUUGAACGCACAUUGCGCCCGCCAGUAUUCUGGCGGGCAUGUCUGUUCGAGCGUCAUUUCAACCCUCAAGACCCCUUCGGGGGACUUGGUGUUGGGGACCGGCACAGGGGCCUGCCUGCUUGUCUUGCAGCGCCCUCGCCGCCCCCGAAAUGAAUUGGCGGCCUCGUCGCGGCCUCCCCUGCGUAGUAGCACAACCUCGCAACGGGAACGUGACGGCGGCCACUGCCGUAAAACAACCCCAAUUUUAUUAGAGUUGACCUCGAAUCAGGUAGGAAUACCCGCUGAACUUAAGCAUAUCAAUAAGCGGAGGA
rnacentral:misc_RNA from 1 species